UGAGCAACCUGCCCUUGACUCUGGAAUAACAGUUGGAAACAGCUGCUAAUACCGGACAUGACUUUGUGUGACAUCACACGGAGUGGAAAGCCCUGGCGGUCAAGGAUGGGCUCGCGGCCUAUCAGCUAGUUGGUGUGGGUAAUGGCCCACCAAGGCGACGACGGGUAGCCGGCCUGAGAGGGUGACCGGCCACACUGGGACUGAGACACGGCCCAGACUCCUAGGAG
rnacentral:rRNA from 1 species